rnacentral:rRNA from 1 species
UACGUAGGGUCCGAGCGUUGUCCGGAAUUAUUGGGCGUAAAGGGCUCGUAGGCGGUUUGUCGCGUCGGGAGUGAAAACACCGGGCUUAACUCGGUGCUUGCUUUCGAUACGGGCAGACUAGAGGUAGGCAGGGGAGAGCGGAACUCCUGGUGUAGCGGUGGAAUGCGCAGAUAUCAGGAAGAACACCGGUGGCGAAGGCGGCUCACUGGCCCGAUACUGACGCUGAGGCACGAAAGCGUGGGGAGCAAACAGG